AACAAUGCGCUUAUUACGCCUCAAGUCAUUUGGCUGCUACUUGCUAUUGUGAUGUUGUAAAGCCUAUCAAACAUGUCAAAAUAUAAAGAGGGUGCCCUGUUCGAAUUAAACAUGCUACGAGAAACGUGGUGUCGAGUAGAGAUUGACAGCAAAUUUUGGGAAAGAGCAGAGAAGAGACAUUUUGACUGUCAUUUGCAAAACACCUGCGACUUCAAGUCGCUCCAGGCAGUGACUCCGGGGCAACGGUCUGCUUGGACAGCUGCAGGACAUGUCACCAAAUACCCGGAGCGAAAACACUUCGAAGAAAGCCACAAGGCCCACCUGGUAUAAUGAAGCAGAGGAACCCUUCAGCACCAAGGGGAAUAUUUCUGAAAUAAAUGGCACUUAAAUUAUAUAUAGAAGUGUCCACCACAAUG